rnacentral:misc_RNA from 1 species
GAUGAAGAACGCAGCGAAAUGCGAUAAGUAAUGUGAAUUGCAGAAUUCAGUGAAUCAUCGAAUCUUUGAACGCACAUUGCGCCCACUGGUAUUCCGGGGGGCAUGCCUGUCCGAGCGUCAUUACAACCCUCAAGCUCAGCUUGGUGUUGGGCCCCGCCGCCCCGGCGGGCCCUAAAGUCAGUGGCGGUGCCGUCCGGCUCCGAGCGUAGUAAUUCUUCUCGCUCUGGAGGUCCGGUCGUGUGCUCGCCAGCAACCCCCAAUUUUUUUCAGGUUGACCUCGGAUCAGGUAGGGAUACCCGCUGAACUUAAGCAUAUCAAUAAGCGGAGGA